rnacentral:misc_RNA from 1 species
AACAUCGCGCACCUGCGGGAACCUGCGGAGGGAUCAUUAUCGAGUGUGACCUCUAUUUUAGAGGGUGCCUCCCGUCCUUGCAGGCCCCUAGGGGCUUUUGACUUUGCUUCGGCGGUACCCCCGCCGGAACAACCCCAAGAAAAUCUCAAUCAAACUGUUCAGUCCGAGGGCUUGUGAAUAAUCAAAACUUUCAACAAUGGAUCU